rnacentral:rRNA from 1 species
CACGUAGGGGGCAAGCGUUUGUCCGGAUUUAUUGGGCGUAAAGAGCUCGUAGGCGGUUCGCUAAGUCGGGUGUGAAAACUCUGGGCUCAACUCAGAGACGCCACCCGAUACUGGCGUGACUCGAGUCCGGUAGGGGAGCAUGGAAUUCCUGGUGUAGCGGUGAAAUGCGCAGAUAUCGUAAGGAAGACCAGUGGCGAAGGCGGAUCUCUGGACAGUUACUGACACUGAGGCACGAAGGCCAGGGGAGCAAACGGG